UCUUUUGAGGGACCACCCCAUAUCAUCCCAAAAGAAAUAUUUGUUCUUCUUCAAUUAUCUCUGGACAAUAUCCUGAAUGUUUUUUCUUACAAAUUUGUAGCACGAUUUAGAUGGUAUUAUAGUAGAUCUUCUCUUCCUAUCAAUUGUUUUUAUUUCUCAUUCGUAAUUAUCUUUGUUCUCCAACCAUUACUUUUUUUGUUUAACCAUAGGCAUGAAUCAUACAUGAUCUUCCAAAGACAUUUCUUCUCAUUAGAUAGUUAUAUUUUUAGAGAAAUAUUUCAAAUGCGACAGAUGAUAUCAAAUAUUGACAUUGAAUAUUCUCUAAUACAUUUCAAAUUUCAUGAUUCUAUUUAUGACAGUGUUCAUCGUUUUCCCCAUCUUUGAAGUAUUUGAACCACCCCCCUCUCACCCCGACCCCUUUGUACAAUAGUGUAGAUUUUUUUUCCUUAGAAAAAUUUGUCUUCUCAGAUGUUUACCCUAAUUUUUAUUUAGAAAGCAUGGUGAGUCUCCGAACAAAAUGUUUUAUUUCUCGUAAGGAUUUUCCUCCUAUUUCUAUUUGUUAUUUUUUAAUCUCGAAGAAAUCUCUCUCUCUCUCUCUCUCUCUCAACGUUCUGGAAAAUUGCAGUCAGCGAAAAAAUCGAUAGAAACAGUGGACCUCACAUAGAAAAUAUUAACAAUGUAUUUAAAACAAGUAGAAACGUACUUGUUCAACCGUCCAUGAAGGAACAAGAGACGGUCUAAAUUACUUGUAGUCUGACAAUUUGGAUUUGUUCGUAAACUACAUUUACAGUAGUAGUUGACAAUAGACUAAUACAUUUUCAGUAGAAGUACUUUAAUAGAAAUACGUUUUUCUGUAAAGAAAAAAGAAAAAAGAGAAACGAUCUUUUAAUAUGACAAUAAUCAUUCGUACGCAUAAAGCACGAUAAAUUUCUAUUCGUGCCCAGUGUUUGUAGAAAUGAGAUAUUAAAAACAGUCAUAAUCUCAUACUGCAAAAAAAAAAAAGAAACAAAUACACAAAAUAAGGAAUAU